rnacentral:tRNA from 1 species
GGUCACGUAGCCAAGUAGCUAAGGCGAGGGUCUGCAAAACCCUUAUUCGUGGGUGCAAUUCCCACCGUGACCUCCA